AUUUUCAGUGGUGGAAGAGACCCUACAGAGUUGCUGCAGUGUGUGUUCUGCUCGCUGUGAUUCUUGGCCUGUGGGAUUCCUAUGCAACUGCAGAGCGAGACCAGCUACAGAAUAGUCUAAAUACCAGGACUACAGAGAGAGACCAGCUACAGAAUAGUCUAAAUACC